AAGGGAAGUCCGUCCGAUGCGGACACAGCCCCCGCUACUGUAACCGGGGACGAAUCCCAAGAGACGCCACGGCCUCGAGGCUGGAAGGCUUGGGAGGAGAGUGAUCCGGGAGUCAGGAGACCU
rnacentral:ncRNA from 2 species